AGAGGAAACUGAGACCUCUCUGUGUUAUUUCCUGUAAAUGAUUUUGAAUUGGAAAUUAUAUAGCAUUUUUACAAAGUAACUUUUUAAAUGCAUGCUCUGUUGUUUCUCAUUGCAGAGACUUCUAAAUCAUGUGUGGAGGUGUAAAUGGAAUGUCCUGUUUUAAAGGUCCAGUCGCAUGCGUGGGGUAGACAGAGGGUGCUUAAAAUUAAAGUACACUGAAGGACCUGGCCUAAACACAGGAAGCUGUUGGUGAUCUUUCUGAACAAAUAUUUAAAAUCUUCUUGGGAGCCAGUGACUGCGUGAGAAUUACAUCUGCACAGAGUUAUCCUAAGCAAGCGCCAGCAUCUUGUCCUAUUCAGAUGCAAAUAGGAAGAGAGGAGAAUAAAAUUCAAACUUCAUCCAAGUGUAACAGUAAGAUCUGAGGAAAAGAAGAAGACAUUUGGUUAAAGAAUGUGGCACCUGGACUGUUCAUGUGUCAAGUCUAAAUAAACCUACCCUACAUCCCUAGAGACUAACAGUCUCUUAUGUUGAGUCCUAUGACAUGGAGG
rnacentral:lncRNA from 1 species